UCUUAAGUGAUUGGGCUAUUUGCCCAUACUUGUUUUAGUUGUCAUACAACUUAAACAUAAUGGGCCUAGUGGACCAAAACCUUUUGGACCCCGAAGCCCAAAACUAACUUAAAAGCCCAAUACGAAUCUUUCGUAAAAUUAAUUAACUAAUUAAUUAAUCUUGGCCAUUCUCAAUUAAACCAUUUAAUUGCUUAUCCAUCUCAUUUAUAUUUCUUCACUUUCAUCCUUACUCAGUGUACGAUCCAUUAGGUUCCAAUUAGUGAGGCAGUGGGCGAUUGUACUCUUAACGAUCGAUUGUGAAUUGAAACAACAUUUCAAUUCUCCCUUUGUUGAAGAUUAGUGUUUGCUAAUCUUCAGGGCUUUCACAAACCAUGAGUGACACCUAGCAGUAUGUCAUGGCUACCCAAGCUAAUUAGAAGUGGUUAGAGAACCUAUCCAGUUACAAUUACAAUGCAAUACGGUCCUUCUCUAAUACAAUACUCUUAAUCACAUUGUUUGAGUGAUAGUUUGUUUCAUGUCUACUUCCAAUGUGAUACUUCUUUAUAUGAUUCAAUUGAAUAUGAUUUGGAACAGACUUCCUAAGUCAUAUUCAUAUGCUUUGGCCAAAGACUCCCGAAUCAUAUCUUAGAGUAUUCUCCUUCCACCAUGGAAGGUCAGAGAUCCCUUGUUGUGCAUUCAUAUGCCUACAUGACUAGAUAGCUUGACCCCAACAAUGCCGUGGACACUCUCGAUGGAAUUCCUUUGACAUGAUCAAAGAUCAAGGACCUAACCAUUAGACAUCUAUGAUGUCUCAGGUCAAAGGACUACUUUGCAUAUUGCAACUAACGAGUUCUUACAUGACAUGUAUGUUGGAAUUCUCUUUUGAUCAUUGUUCAGUGUACUGGAUUACUCUUUCGAGCACCUAUGUGUUUGUCUUAGUGUCCAACACUAAAUGACUUGAG
rnacentral:lncRNA from 1 species